rnacentral:rRNA from 1 species
UACGUAGGUGGCAAGCGUUGUCCGGAUUUACUGGGCGUAAAGAGCGCGCAGGCGGUCGUUCAAGUCGCGUGUGAAAGCCCCCGGCUCAACUGGGGAGGGUCACGCGAUACUGAUCGACUCGAAGGGCAGGAGAGGGUAGUGGAAUUCCCGGUGUAGUGGUGAAAUGCGUAGAUAUCGGGAGGAACACCAGUGGCGAAGGCGACUACCUGGCCUGUUCUUGACGCUGAGGCGCGAAAGCUAGGGGAGCAAACGGG